rnacentral:rRNA from 1 species
UACGUAGGGUGCAAGCGUGGUCCGGAAUUAUGGGGCGUAAAGAGUUCGUAGGCGGUUUGUUGCGUCGGCUGUGAAAUCCCGAGGCUCAACCUCGGGUCUGCAGUCGAUACGAGCAAACUAGAGUGUUGCAGGGGAGACUGGAAUUCCUGGUGUAGCGGUGAAAUGCGCAGAUAUCAGGAGGAACACCGGUGGCGAAGGCGGGUCUCUGGGCAACAACUGACGCUGAGGAGCGAAAGCGUGGGGAGCGAACAGG